UGGAAUUCAGCUGAGUUAGUUUGUGUAUAACGACACUUACAACAUCACAAAGGUUAAAAAAAAUCUCCUUUUAUUUUUACAACAGUUCAUACAGGGCUUUUUGGCUGGACUUGAGACGAGCAUCCUUUCUUAUCGGGGGUUUCAUUCACAAUUACUGUGCAAAUAGCUUAAGUAGAGGUCAUGAAAAUGCUGUUACUUCAUUUCCUUUAUUAUCAUAUGGAAAUAUACAGAAAUUCUCCCCUGUAACUUAAAAUAUAUACAUUUCACCUUUGAUAGAAUUUGACUGCAGGAGGAUUACUAGUUACUGGUCUUGGCAAAUAGUUGAGGUGCAAUCUGAAAAUUGAUAACUGACAGCAUAGAAAUAAGCUGUGGGCUUUACUAGGGCUAGAAUCUUAAGACAUUGAAAUACAGGAUAUUUAAAUGCCUAAUUUUCACUGAUGGAAGGAGCAGUUUGGUGCCUGAACACCUUAAUAGCAUCUGUCUUAGUGCACAAACCUGCAACAACCAAGGUCAGUGGGAGCAGCACCAAGGGAUUCAAGCGACAAGGCUCAGAGAUUGAUACAGAGAAGUUGUGAUCUUUAACGCACAGUGAAAAGGAACACUGCUUCCUCUUGCAGGUCUCUUGAACAAAGGGAGAAAGGGAAGGUGAGGUUGUUAAGCAGUAAAAAUUCUGGAAAAUAAUUGGGGGAGAGGAGAAAAUACUCAUAAAGCAUCUUUUAAUGAAAAGUUUUCAUCUGAUGCUUUCUUUUUCAUAGAACUGUGUCAAAGUCUCCACUCAAUAUAAUAGAAGGCACAUCUGUCCAUUUAGCACUAGGAGGAUUCUGUUUUCUUACAAUGCACUGUUUAUUUAAAUAUUCAGUCACUUCUCCACUUCUUGUACUGUUGUUUUAUGAUUUUUUGGAAGUUGAUACUCCGACAGCUCCCAUGCAAGCCGACGUGUCACAUAUUCCUGGAGUUCCCUGAGCCCCAAUAGCACCAGGAGUACCAGGAUCCCCUGGAAGACCGGGUUCACCCUGAGCACCAUCACGACCAUUUUUAGUGACUCCAGGUACACCAGGUGGUCCUAAACAAGAAGGGGAAAGAGGUUACAUGAAUGAUUUCCUUAUUUCCUUUUUUUUUCCUUUUUUAAUACAUGUGUAAAGAUAUGUGUUACUUUUAGAAGUCUUAAAAUACUUUUAAGUGUCUGUACAUGAGACUUGUUGAGUACAAGGUGUUGAAUAAACUUAGCCUGACUCUG
rnacentral:lncRNA from 1 species